rnacentral:rRNA from 1 species
GUAGGGAGCAAGCGUUGUUCGGAAUUAUUGGGCGUAAAGAGCGCGUAGGCGGCCAGGUAAGUCUGAUGUGAAAUCCCACAGCUCAACUGUGGAACUGCAUUGGAAACUGCUUGGCUAGAGUGCGGGAGAGGAGAGUGGAAUUCCCAGUGUAGAGGUGAAAUUCGUAGAUAUUGGGAGGAACACCAGUGGCGAAGGCGGCUCUCUGGACCGCAACUGACGCUGAGGCGCGAAAGCUAGGGGAGCGAACGGGAUUAGAUACCCGGUAGUCCUAGCCCGUAAACGAUGGGCACUAGGUGUGGGAGGUAUCGACCCUUCUGUGCCGCAGCUAACGCAUUAAGUGCCCCCCGCCUGGGGAGUACGGUCGCAAGACUA